rnacentral:rRNA from 1 species
UACGUAGGGUGCGAGCGUUGUCCGGAAUUAUUGGGCGUAAAGAGCUUGUAGGUGGUUUGUCGCGUCUGCUGUGAAAAUCCGAGGCUCAACCUCGGACUUGCAGUGGGUACGGGCAGACUAGAGUGUGGUAGGGGAGACUGGAAUUCCUGGUGUAGCGGUGGAAUGCGCAGAUAUCAGGAGGAACACCGAUGGCGAAGGCAGGUCUCUGGGCCAUUACUGACACUGAGACGCGAAAGCGUGGGGAGCGAACAGG